CGCAUCUGUGCAUGCAGCAUAUCAAUAAGCGGAGGAAAAGAAACUAACAAGGAUUCCCCUAGUAACGGCGAGUGAAGCGGGAAGAGCUCAAAUUUGAAAUCUUAAAGGGUUUCCCUUUACGAAUUGUAGUUUAAAGGAAGUGUUUUCUGUUGAGGUUUUGGUAAAAGUUCUUUGGAAUAGGACAUCAUAGAGGGUGAGAAUCCCGUAUUUGACCUUUACUUUCAACUUUGUGAUACACUUUCAAAGAGUCGGAUUGUUUGGGAAUGCAGUCCAAAAUGGGUGGUAAAUUUCAUCUAAAGCUAAAUAUUGGCGAGAGACCGAUAGCGAACAAGUACCGUGAGGGAAAGAUGAAAAGAACUUUGAAAAGAGAGUUAAACAGUACGUGAAAUUGUCAAAAGGGAAGCGUUUGACACCAGUGUUGUUUUUCUGAAAAUCAAUUAAAGAACUGUUUAUGCUAAGCUGUUUAGACUUUAUCAGCUAUCUGUUUAGUUUUGAGCUUUUCUUUAAUGCACUUUUCAGUUAACAAGUCAACAUCAAUUUCUUUUGCUGUAAAAAAGCUUGAGGAAGGUGGCUUGAGAUUCGUCUUAAGUGUUUAUAGCCUCUUGCCUAUGCAGUCGGAGAGAUUGAGGUCUGCAGCGUAGAUCCUUCGGGGCUAAAUGCAUUUGUGCUAAGUUAUAGCAUUUUAUAGACAACUUGUUGACUAUGAUUUGUCUUGUAGCUUACUCGCUUAUGUUAUUUUACCUACGCUUAGGAUGUUGAAUCUGUGCGAGACUAC
rnacentral:rRNA from 1 species